rnacentral:rRNA from 1 species
UGAGGAAUAUUGCACAAUGGGCGAAAGCCUGAUGCAGCGACGCCGCGUGGGUGAAGAAGGUUUUCGGAUCGUAAAACCCUUUUCUGUGUGACGAGAGAGGACGGUAGCACAGGAAUAAGUCUCGGCUAACUACGUGCCAGCAGCCGCGGUAAAACGUAGGAGACAAACGUUAUCCGGAGUUACUGGGCGUAAAGGGCGUGCAGGCGGCAGCCUAAGUCUGGCGUGAAAUAUCCCGGCUUAACCGGGAGAGGUCGUCGGAUACUGGGCAGCUAGAGGGCGGUAGAGGCGUGUGGAAUUCCGGGUGUAGUGGUGAAAUGCGUAGAGAUCCGGAGGAACACCAGUGGCGAAGGCGACACGCUGGGCCGCACCUGACGCUAAGACGCGACAGCAUGGGGAGCGAACGGG